rnacentral:rRNA from 1 species
CCUACGGGAGGCCGCAGUGAGGAAUAUUGGUCAAUGGACGAGAGUCUGAACCAGCCAAGUAGCGUGAAGGAUGACUGCCCUAUGGGUUGUAAACUUCUUUUAUAUGGGAAUAAAACGUUCAACGUGUGGGAUUUUGUAUGUACCAUAUGAAUAAGGAUCGGCUAACUACGUGCCAGCAGCCGCGGUAAUACGGAGGAUCCGAGCGUUAUCCGGAUUUAUUGGGUUUAAAGGGAGCGUAGGUGGAUUGUUAAGUCUGUUGUGAAAGUUUGCGGCUCAACCGUAAAAUUGCAGUUGAAACUGGCAGUCUUGAGUACAGUAGAGGUGGGCGGAAUUCGUGGUGUAGCGGUGAAAUGCUUAGAUAUCACGAAGAACUCCGAUUGCGAAGGCAGUUCACUGGACUGCAACUGACACUGAGGCUCGAAAGUGUGGGUAUCAAACAGGAUUAGAUACCCCUGUAGUC